CAAAGAUUAAUCAUUUUUCUGCUUAAAAAAAAUGGCUUUGAUUUGCAACCAUGGAAUGCUCCACUGUUUCUCUUCUCUUCAAAGACAUCUACUGGAAGGAUUCCUUAACCUUACCAAGUGGCCAAAAUACUUUUCUGAGAAGAGUCACAGAGCAUAGGCCCCCCUAGGGUACACAGAGAUUUCAUUAGUCCCUAGAUGUUUCCUGAUCCUUUUAAAAACUGGUUAAAUUCAGAGACUCUAGGCAAUUACUUCUUUCAGAACCUGUGAGGCAAAAACGAAAGAAGAAGGCAGGACACGCAGUGUAACAAACCUUGGAAUGAUUGGUCUGAGGACUCCGCUUUCUUCACUGCUCAUUCAUCUUCAUACUGCUCUCAUAUUUUUUUUUAAAUUGGGAUAUGCAAUGAUCCUUAGUUUAUAAAUUCAACUCCACUUUGCCACA
rnacentral:antisense_RNA from 1 species